CCUUGACAUACUAAGAACUUUCCAGAGAUGGAUUGGUGCCUUCGGGAACUUAGAUACAGGUGCUGCAUGGCUGUCGUCAGCUCGUGUCGUGAGAUGUUGGGUUAAGUCCCGNAACGAGCGCAACCCUUUUCCUAUUUGCCAGCGGGUCAUGCCGGGAACUUUAAGGAUACUGCCAGUGACAAACUGGAGGAAGGCGGGGACGACGUCAAGUCAUCAUGGCCCUUACGGCCAGGGCUACACACGUGCUACAAUGGUCGGUACAAAGGGUUGCUACCUCGCGAGAGGAUGCUAAUCUCAAAAAGCCGAUCGUAGUCCGGAUCGCAGUCUGCAACUCGACUGCGUGAAGUCGGAAUCGCUAGUAAUCGCGGAUCAGAAUGCCGCGGUGAAUACGUUCCCGGGCCUUGUACACACCGCCCGUCACACCAUGGGAGUUUGUUGCACCAGAAGUAGGUAGUCUAACCGCAAGGAGGACGCUUACCACGGUGUGGCCGAUGACUGGGGUGAAGUCGUAACAAGGUAAGCGUAGAUGA
rnacentral:rRNA from 1 species